GACGAACGCUGGCGGCGUGCUUAACACAUGCAAGUCGAACGGAAAGGCCCCUUUGGGGGUACUCGAGUGGCGAACGGGUGUGUAACACGUGAGUAACCUGCCCUUGACUUCGGGAUAACUUCAGGAAACUGGGUCUAAUACCGGUUAGGAAUCCUUGCUUCAUGGUUGGGGUUGUAAAGCUUCUGCGGUUUUGGGUGUACUCGCGGCUUAUCUUCUUGUUGGUGGGUUUGUGGCUUACCAAGGCUUUGACGGGUAGCCGGCCUGAGGGGGCGACCGGCCACAUUGGGACUGAGAUACGGCACAGAAUCGUACGGGAGGCAGCAGGGGGGAAGAAUGAAAAAUGGGAGGAAGGCUGAUGCAGAAAGGCCGCGGGCGGGAAGACGGGCUUAGGGUUGUAAAACGCUUUCAGCAGGGGAGAAGCUUGUGGUGACGGUACCUGCAGAAGAAGCACCGGCUAACUACGUG
rnacentral:rRNA from 1 species